AUGUACGCCGACAGGGUCUCCGGACGGAAGCGCUCCGUCAGGGACCGCCUCGGCUCGGGAGGCGGCGGUGGAGGCUCUCGCCCGCGGUCUGACUCAGCGAAAAGGUUUCGCCAAGUUGAUGGGACUUGGAGGCGUGAGCUCUACAAGGAUUCUGUAGGAGCCCAAAGUUCAUCUGUACCUGCUUCCAGAAAUCUUCAAGCAAUCCAAAAAUCACAUAUUAAGCAAAGCACUGUGGAUGUGAAGAAAUCAUCAGUUCCAGAUCUUCGUGAAAAGUUAUCUGGAGGCCAGCGCCCUCAACUCAGUAGUACAGUUCAGAUCCCAAAACCUGCAGCUGAUAUUGCUAAUAGUGCUAAACCUGUUCAAAAGAGACAGAUCCCUGCUGCUGCUGCUGUUGCUGCCCGUCCUGUCACUGAACAAGUAAAUGCACCAGCUGCACCAAAGCAAUCCCAUGAAAAGGCUGAUGCCUCACUUGACAGAUUGCUGAAGUCUCUUGAUCUGGAGAAGUAUUCCAUUAAUUUCCAGGCUGAAGAGGUUGAUAUGAAAGCAUUGGUUCACAUGAAUGAGGAAGAUAUGAAGUCAUUAGGAAUUCCAAUGGGCCCUCGGAAGAAGAUACUAUCAGCACUGGCUUCGAAGAGAAAGAAGUCCUCAAGAUCAUUACCGCCUACUAGCUGA
rnacentral:rRNA from 1 species